UACGUAGGUGACAAGCGUUGUCCGGAUUUACUGGGCGUAAAGAGCGCGCAGGCGGUCGUUCAAGUCGAGUGUGAAAGCCCCCGGCUCAACUGGGGAGGGUCACUCGAUACUGAUCGACUCGAAGGCAGGAGAGGGAAGUGGAAUUCCCGGUGUAGUGGUGAAAUGCGUAGAUAUCGGGAGGAACACCAAUGGCGAAGGCGGGUCUCUGGGUAGUAACUGACGCUGAGGAACGAAAGCGUGGGUAGCGAACAGG
rnacentral:rRNA from 1 species